UAACGAAACGAUAAUUUGUCAACAAUGAGAAUCAGAUACUUGGCUUAAUAAUUUUCAUUUAAAAUGUUUAAUUUGGAUAUAAUUCGGAAUACAAAACGAAACUUAAAAGGUAUUGAAAACAACAACGUUCAAUAGAACAAUGUGGAUUUCAAUAGAAAGACUAUUUCCACCGACAAUCAGGAUUUCCGGUAUGACCACUGUUAUUUUGACGAUUUUCCUAUCGGUUCGUCGGUAAGCGUGACCACAUGUGACAACAGCGAUGCUAGUUGGAUAUAAAAUUGGUAGACGUGUCGUUGAACUCGACACAUUGACCGAAUCGCUUUUAGCAUGCAGUGCUUGUCAAGUGCCCAUGAAUUUACUUAACACUGUAGAAAGCAGGGAUUUCGGACUGGCAUGUGUUUUGGACAUACAGUUUAGCAAUUGUGGUGCAGUAAAUAAUGUGGCUACUGGACGGAAACAUGGCAGAGUUUAUGACAUGAUCACAAAGCUUGCAUUUGGGUAAAUCAAAAACUGGGUGUUUCACCUGGGACUUUCACAUCGAAACUGGCCCUUCUCCAUGACCUUCAGCACAAAAAAAGAAAGGCUAUAACUGUUACUCGUGCAGCAAAACAGUGACGCAUAAGACUUAAAACUCGAACGGCAUUCAAAGGACAGUGCAAGAAGUACAAGCGGGACCAACAUACAGUUCAAACAUAGAGGACCAAGACGUUGAAGUUACAACUAUACCCCCACCUAUACCCAAGCCUGGUCCAGCAGGGCUAGACACUACUGGGAAGGAAUUUGUUUUCUUUGAUUUGGAAACAAGAGGGUUAGAGCACACUUCUCACAUAAUUCAGAUAGCUGCAGUGCAUUCAACUGGUCAGAAGAUUUCCUUGCAAGCGUCAGAAAUAACUGGAGUGACAGUUGUUAGCGACUCUAUGCUUGUCAAGAGACAAACAGUAACAGCUGUCCCCAUCAAAUCUGCAUUGACAAGUUUUAUAACAUUCUUACAGAAAUGUUCACAAAUUAUUUUAGUUGGGCAUAAUAUAGAGUCUUUUGAUUGUAAAGUGUUGCUCCGUGCUAUCCAUCCUUGUUGAAAAAUGUUUGAGUUUCAGCAAAAUAUUUGUGGCUUUUUAGAUACUUAAAAAUGUUAAAGGAAAUAUUACCAAAUAUGAAAUCAUAUUAGCGGGAACAUUUAGUUAAAGACGUCAUUGGUGAAUUAUACAUGGCACAUGGCGCUAUACAGGAUAUUUUAGCUUUACAAAAGUUAGUGAACUCUGUUCCUCUUGACCAAAAAUUGUUAACAAAUAUUCAUUCAGCUUUUACCGAGCAGUGUUAACAUACAAUGUGUAACUAAAUGUUGCUUCCAACAUUAAAUCUUUACAAACCAUAAUUGAUACAAAAGUUAUAAGUCAAGGUAUUGCAAGGAAAGUUGCAGGAAGUGGAUUUCAACUUAAACAUUUGAGUCCUGUAUCAAAAAGAAACGGACUGAGUGGUUUGAGGAGCCCCCUUUCAGAGGUUACAAACGGACAAAUCAGAGUAACAAAAUCAGAGAAAAUAAUAUGUACAAUAGCGAGUUAUUUGUUGCCUGACAUCUAACCAAUUGUAAUUUGCAUCUUGUAUAUAGAUAAGCUAUGAAAUCUAAUAGCUGUUACAUCAUUGUUUUUCCUUCUCGAUGACGAACAUAGUUGUGAUUCUUAUGUCAGUUGUAUUUCUCAUGUUUCACCUAAGUUGUAAGAUAUUUUUGGCAGUGCAUUAAACCACAGAUGGUGUGUGAAACAUAA